AACGGCCAAAACACGUUGAAAACACCAGUUCUCGUACGAUCCCCAAAGUUAAGCAACCUCGAGACUGGUCAGUACCUAGAUGGGUAACCAGUUGGGAAUACCGGGUGCU